CACAUUCACGACACAAAG
rnacentral:siRNA from 1 species